AGGGAACUCCUCUAACUGAAAGAAAAAAAAAAAAAAAGAAAAGAAAAGAAAAAGGCAAGAACAGGGGCAGAGCUAUGAUUUUGGAGGGUCUUAAAGCAGAUAAAGUUUGGGGAGAUCUCUGUAAGAAAAAGAAUACAAAAGUACCAAAGCAAAAUUAGUUUUGAACAGGAGGAUUUGUUCAGAAUAUUAGCAGAAAUGCCAACCAAUUGCUAGAGCCUUACAGCUCCAGGUCCUUCUCAUCUAAGGCUCUCUGGGUAAUUCAUCAGGACUGCUUCCUGGCUGUACUCUACCACUCCAAUAGUCCAAGGAUACCUGUGUGCUUGAGACACCCAAGGACUAUAGCGCAUUAACUCCAUAUAAAUCUGCCUCUAGGUAAGAAAUUGGAGGGCAACUAAUGGCAUGUUCAUAUCAUCAAUGCUGGAAAGGUUUUCAAAAUUUAACAGAACAUGAACUACAAUCACUUUUUUUAUUUUAGAAUAAAUGCAUUCAUUUCUUAUUGCUACUGUAACACAUAACCACAAAUGUUGCUUACAACUGCUAGGGCUAGAGUAGGCACAGGUGGUUGUAGAAGGCCCAGUAGAGGAUCAUAAAGAGGGAAACCUGGGAGAUGUUGGGAGACCCCUGUUAAGUUCCAGAAAACCAUCAGAACAAGACAGCCUUGCUUAACUAGGGGAGGGGUGAAAAUUACCUCAGGUCAUUGGCUGGGGAAUGGGAUGAAGCCUGCCUUAAAUUCAGACCAAGGGCCAGAGUUUGAAGACUGCCCCUCAGCUGAUACACAACUUACUGGAUACCAAGGAGGAGCCACUACUUCCAGAAAGGAAGAGGCAGGCCCUUCUGAUCCUUACGCCCUUGAAUGAUAAAACUGUAGCCCACCUGAUCCUCGGGCAGAGCCUCCUUGCCUGCCCACUUGCUUCUCUCGCAAGCAUCCUGUCCUGAUCAAUCUGUUUCUUGCCUACCACUCUGUCUCUCACUGACUUCCUCUGCAUCGAGGCAUAAAAACCUGAACCUCAGUGAGUCCAGACACAGGUGCUGGCUUACUGCCACCCUCCCCCUGGCACAGUCUCCUCUUUGAAGAGGGUAAAGCAGAAGGUCUCUUUCAUAAGCAGAACACAGGCAUGAGCACCAAGGAUGGAGCCAGAAAACCAGAGACGAGAAAGGAAUAAACUACUCUGGUCCAGCAAGUUCUCUUGUAUUUAGUCAUUGCACCAAUGUGAUGAAUGAAUAUUACUUCCUUACAUUUGUGACAGAGGUUAGGAAACGCCCAGAGUCACUGAGAUAAGCUUCAGCCCUCAAGAAAUUGUUUUCGACUGGGAGUUAACACAAACGAGAGGAACCAGCACAACUACAGAUGAUGUCAGAUGUGUGGCAGAAAUAAAAAUACGGUAAGAUCUCCAAGGAAGCAGCAUCCGGUCCAGGGCUGAUGCUGGGAGACUUCCGUCAUGAGCGAAGCCUGGAUGUGUUGAUUCUGGAUGGACAGAGAGGAGGGGUGAACAGCAUCCUUCUCUUCCAUACUUGCAAUUUUCCUCUUUUUGUAAACAUUGACUCUUUUACAAGAGAUUGGCUUCAGCAUCGACAAAAACUCAUUUCCAAAUUCCUUUCUUUUUAGAGCCACUUGCCUACGCUUAGAAAAGGAUAAGCUUGAGUAGCAGAGCAGA